rnacentral:tRNA from 2 species
GGGCUGUUGGCGCAAUGGUAGCGCUUCAGCUUCCGAUGCUGGAGGUUCUAGGUUCGAGCCCUAGGCAGCUCG